rnacentral:rRNA from 1 species
GACGAACGCUGGCGGCGUGCUUAACACAUGCAAGUCGAACGGAAAGGCCCUGCUUUUGUGGGGUGCUCGAGUGGCGAACGGGUGAGUAACACGUGAGUAACCUGCCCUUGACUUUGGGAUAACUUCAGGAAACUGGGGCUAAUACCGGAUAGGAGCUCCUGCUGCAUGGUGGGGGUUGGAAAGUUUCGGCGGUUGGGGAUGGACUCGCGGCUUAUCAGCUUGUUGGUGGGGUAGUGGCUUACCAAGGCUUUGACGGGUAGCCGGCCUGAGAGGGUGACCGGCCACAUUGGGCCUGAGAUACGGCCCAGACUCCUACGGGAGGCAGCAGUGGGGAAUAUUGCACAAUGGGCGGAAGCCUGAUGCAGCAACGCCACGUGCGGGAUGACGGCCUUCGGGUUGUAAACCGCUUUCGCCUGUGACGAAGCGUGAGUGACGGUAAUGGGUAAAGAAGCACCGGCUAACUACGUG